rnacentral:rRNA from 1 species
UUUCACUGAAACAAGGGAAAACAUUGGCAGCAGUAAAGAAUUUUAUGCAAUAUACGAAAGUAAGACAUAGGCAGAACCUUUUAACCUGUCAAAUUAAGUGCCAGCAGACGCGGUGAAACUUAAGGGUUUGUUUUUUAGAAAAAGCAGAAAGCGUGUAAAGGUAAAAUAUUUAAAAUAAAUAGAAUUUUUUUAGUAAUAGUGAAAUAUUAAAAGAAAAAAAAGAAUUUUUUAUGUGAAAACAAUUUAUUUUUUUCUUUAACACGAAGGUUCUGGGAGCAAACAGGAUUAGAGACCCUGGUAGUCGAUACAGUAAAAGAAAGUCGCUUGAGUAGUACGGUCGCAAGAUUAAAAUUCAAAAAACUUGGCUGUUCAUUGUUAUUUAGAGGAGCGUGUUGCUUAAUUCGACAAUCCGCGAGUUACCUUACCAAGACUAGUUUUUUCAGGUGUUGCAUGGCCGUCGUCAAUUUAUGUUUGAUACAAUAAAUUAAACCCUAGAAAGGUUGAAGUCAGGUAUUAUUGCCCUUAUGUUUUGGGGUUAGAUGCGCUACAUUUUUUUUUUAAUAAAAAAAAAGAGUUCGGAUUGUCUUUUAAAGAGGAUGAUUAAGUUGAAUUUAAUAGUAAUUGAAAAGUAGAGCGUUUCAAUGAAUUUUAAGCAAUGUUAGUACAAAUAGCCCGUCGCCUUUACUGAGGUAAACAAAGUAGAGUAAGUCGUAACA